UGCAGCUACCCUACCACCACCCUGAUUUCAUUAGCUUGAGAAGAAGAAGAGUUUUCUGGUUUGAGCAAAGUUGCCUUUUUGCCGUCAGGACAAGGAGUCCCAUAAGAUUUGAACAAAUACUGGAGCAGUGCCAGAAAAUAUGCAAAGAAGAAUAUAAAUGUCAUUUCACAAAUACUGCUGUUCAUGUGGAAUGGAAGGUAUUUAUUUUCCUGAUACUCUGUCACUUCAAUCAGUAUGAUUGUCAGCUGCUAGUUAAAAAAAAUAGACUUGAACAUAAUUACAUUUUUUGUCCAUCUACAAUCUACUGGGCUUGUUACUAAUUCAUUUUACUGCUCUCCAAUCUGCUUUUAUUCAUUACAGGAAAUUUAAAUACCCUAUUUAAUCUGAGUAUAAGGUUCAUUUCCUUGGUAUUCGUAAAAGUAGUCAUCUCAAAGAAGUCAUUAGGUUUAAUGUUAACCUUUAAUGUGAUCUGUGAGUAUGAUAAACUAUUUAAUGAGUUGUCUGAAGUUUGUGUAUGACAUUUCUAUGUCACCAAACUUGUCAUUGGCUAGCAGUGUAGCACUGCAUUACAGUUGCGGGGCAACAGCUCAGUUUUCUGAGAUUUUGAAGGCAUUGUGAUAUGGUUUUGAUCUUGCAAUACUGAUUUUGUCUUUCAACUAAUAAAAAAAAUCCACGACUUCAGUUUGGAGCUUCAGUCCCACUGUUCAUUAAUACUGCAAAACAUCUUUUCUGGCUCUGUAAUACUCUGUUUUCAUCUUGAAGAGCUGAAGGCACUAGACAUUUACUGUGCAGUACCAUAUCCUUCCUGGGACCCAGUGGGCACCCCAACUACAGCAAAAGCAUCUGCAACUCAGUAUACAACCUGUUUAAUAUGUGUUUAUUGAUUUAAAUUACAGAUUAUACACGAGCAUGAAAUGCUGAAAUAAAUUAAAUCAGUAUGCAUCUGUCAA